CCUCCCUGUCUCCCUCCUUUAACUCCGGUAGUCGGAGUGAACGCCAGCGACAUCUCUCCGAUCAAGCACAACCACCACCUCCUGCACCUCUUGACAUCCUACACCUCUCGGCACCCUCACAUCUCGAAGAACACCCUCACUCCUUAUGUCCCGAUAACAAGCUCAUUGCCGGAAUCACGUAACUGUAUCGUUGCACGUCACCAGAGAGAACCAUAGCUUUACCAGAGGUCGGAGCUCGCGAACGAGGAUCGUUUCACCUCGAUUCGGUAUACCUUUCCCAUUCCCUUGUGUUACUCUGCUGUAAUACAAUAAGAAUCGGAGGUUCACGCCGGGGUUACAUCGACUCGCCUUCGAGACCCCCGGACCAGAGAAACCGAGUUCAUCGGAAAAUGACGUGGGAGUUUACACAGUCCUCUUCGUUUCGUUCAUCGCUGCAACCCGGCGCCGGAGUCUCGCCAAAGAUCGGAGCUCGCCGGAGUGUACACCGGAACUCGACUCGUCCAGAUGGUGACUUCUCAUCUCUUGGAUUUCCCAAUAUUUACUCGUGUGAUAAUUCAAGGGAUUCUUAUACGCAACCAGGUGAGUAU